UGGUCUCAGUUCAGAUUGCAGGCUGCCAACCCGCCUGCAUGAAGUCGGAAUUGCUAGUAAUCGCGGAUCAGCAUGCCGCGGUGAAUACGUUCCCGGGCCUUGUACACACCGCCCGUCACACCAUGGGAGCCGGUAAUACCCGAAGUCAGUAGUCCAACCUCGUGAGGACGCUGCCGAAGGUAGGAUUGGCGACUGGGGUGAAGUCGUAACAAGGUAUC
rnacentral:rRNA from 1 species